rnacentral:lncRNA from 1 species
CCUCUCGUGAUAUGAUAGCUGGCACACCAAACCUAACCACAACAGUGGGUUUAAACAACUGCCUUAGAUUGUUCCUUGUUUAUCAUCCAUGCAUCGACCUGUCUACUUAUUUUAAAUAAAAAGUGUCCUAUACACCUUGGCAAAUUUUUGUAUAUUAUAGAAGGAGUGAUAGUGACAAGCAAACUCUCUUUUCCUGCUCAUCCUAUUUCCCUACUUUCUCUUCCAAAUUUUUAAGGUAUAUUUCAACAAAUAUUUCUUGCAAAAAAGCAUUGUGUUCAUU